rnacentral:rRNA from 1 species
CCUACGGGUGGCAGCAGUGGGGAAUAUUGCACAAUGGGGGAAACCCUGAUGCAGCGACGCCGCGUGAAGGAAGAAGGAGUUCGGGAUGUAAACUUCUAUCAGCAGGGAAGAAAAUGACGGUACCUGACGAAGAAGCCCCGGCUAACUACGUGCCAGCAGCCGCGGUAAUACGUAGGGGGCAAGCGUUAUCCGGAUUUACUGGGUUUAAAGGGAGCGGAGGCGGUUUAGCAAGUCAGAAGUGAAAGCCCGGGGCUCAACUCCGGGACUGCUUUUGAAACUGUUGAACGAGAUUGCAGGAGAGGUCAGUGGAAUUCCUAGUGUAGCGGUGACAUGCUUCGCUAUUAGGAGGAACUCCAGUGGCGAAGGCGGCUUACUGGACUGUAACUGCCGCUGAGGCUCGACAGCGUGGGGAGCAAACCGGCUUAGAUCCCCCUGUAGUC